rnacentral:rRNA from 1 species
AGAGUUUGAUCCUGGCUCAGGACGAACGCUGGCGGCGUGCCUAAUACAUGCAAGUAGAACGCUGACUACUUUAGCUUGCUAGAGUAGAAGGAGUUGCGAACGGGUGAGUAACGCGUAGGUAACCUGCCUACUAGCGGGGGAUAACUAUUGGAAACGAUAGCUAAUAUCGCAUAACAGUGUUUAACACAUGUUAGAUGCUUGAAAGAUGCAAAUGCAUCACUAGUAGAUGGACCUGCGUUGUAUUAGCUAGUUGGUGGGGUAACGGCCUACCAAGGCGACGAUACAUAGCCGACCUGAGAGGGUGAUCGGCCACACUGGGACUGAGACACGGCCCAGACUCCUACGGGAGGCUGCAGUAGGGAAUCUUCGGCAAUGGGGGCAACCCUGACCGAGCAACGCCGCGUGAGUGAAGAAGGUUUUCGGAUCGUAAAGCUCUGUUGUUGGAGAAGAAUGGUCGGCAGAGUAACUAGUUCACACUGUGACGGUACUUAACCAGAAAGGGACGGCUAACUACGUGCCAGCAGCCGCGGUAAUACGUAGGUGGCAAGCGUUAUCCGGAUUUAUUGGGCGUAAAGCGAGCGCAGGCGGUUUGAUAAGUCUGAAGUUAAAGGCUGUGGCUCAACCAUAGUUCGCUUUGGAAACUGGGAGACUUGAGUGCAGGAGAGGAUCGUGGAAUUCCAUGUGUAGCGGUGAAAUGCGUAGAUAUAUGGAGGAACACCAGUGGCGAAGGCGACGAUCUGGCCUGUAACUGACGCUGAGGCUCGAAAGCGUGGGGAGCAAAUAGGAUUAGAUACCCUAGUAGUCCACGCCGUAAACGAUGAGUACUAGGUGUGGGGGUUUCAACACCUCCGUGCCGCCGCUAACGCAUUAAGUAUUCCGCCUGGGGAGUACGGUCGCAAGAUUAAAACUCAAAGGAAUUGACGGGGGCCCGCACAAGCAGCGGAGCAUGUGGUUUAAUUCGAAGCAACGCGAAGAACCUUACCUACACUUGACAUCCCUUGCAUUACUCUUAAUCGAGGAAAUCCCUUCGGGGACAAGGUGACAGGUGGUGCAUGGUUGUCGUCAGCUCGUGUUGUGAGAUGUUGGGUUAAGUCCCGCAACGAGCGCAACCCUUGUCGUUAGUUACUACCAUUAAGUUGAGGACUCUAGCGAGACUGCCUGGGUUAACCAGGAGGAAGGUGGGGAUGACGUCAAAUCAUCAUGCCCCUUAUGUGUAGGGCUACACACGUGCUACAAUGGCUGGUACAGAGAGAUGCAAUACCGCGAGGUGGAGCCAAACUUAAAAACCAGUCUCAGUUCGGAUUGUAGGCUGAAACUCGCCUACAUGAAGCUGGAGUUACUAGUAAUCGCGAAUCAGAAUGUCGCGGUGAAUACGUUCCCGGGUCUUGCACACACCGCCCGUCA